rnacentral:rRNA from 1 species
CCUACGGGUGGCAGCAGUGAGGAAUAUUGGUCAAUGGACGCAAGCCUGAACCAGCCACGCCGCGUGCAUGAAGACGGCUCUAGGAGUUUUAAACUGCGUUUGUACGGGAGUAAACGGAGUCACGCGUGCCUUUUUGAAUGUACGGUACGAAUAAGGAUCGUCUAACUCCGUGCCAGCAGCCGCGGUAAUACGGAGGGCUCAAGCGUUAUCCGGAUUUAUUGGGUUUAAAGGGUGCGUAGGCGGUCGGAUAAGUCAGGGGUGAAAGUCCGGGGCUCAACCGCGGAAUUGCUUGUGAUACUGUUCGGCUAGAGUGCAGUGGAGGUAAGCGGAAUGCGUGGUGUAGCGGUGAAAUGCUUAGAGAUCAGGAAGAACACCGAUGGCGAAGGCAGCUUACCAAACUGCAACUGACGUUGAGGCUCGAAAGCGUGGGGAGCAAACAGGAUUAGAUACCCCUGUAGUC